GAUGAACGCUGGCGGCGUGCCUAAUACAUGCAAGUCGAGCGAACGGACGAGAAGCUUGCUUCUCUGAUGUUAGCGGCGGACGGGUGAGUAACACGUGGAUAACCUACCUAUAAGACUGGGAUAACUUCGGGAAACCGGAGCUAAUACCGGAUAAUAUUUUGAACCGCAUGGUUCAAAAGUGAAAGACGGUCUUGCUGUCACUUAUAGAUGGAUCCGCGCUGCAUUAGCUAGUUGGUAAGGUAACGGCUUACCAAGGCAACGAUGCAUAGCCGACCUGAGAGGGUGAUCGGCCACACUGGAACUGAGACACGGUCCAGACUCCUACGGGAGGCAGCAGUAGGGAAUCUUCCGCAAUGGGCGAAAGCCUGACGGAGCAACGCCGCGUGAGUGAUGAAGGUCUUCGGAUCGUAAAACUUUGUUAUUAGGGAAGAACAUAUGUGUAAGUAACUGUGCACAUCUUGACGGUACCUAAUCAGAAAGCCACGGCUAACUACGUG
rnacentral:rRNA from 1 species